rnacentral:rRNA from 1 species
UAGGGAAUCUUCCACAAUGGGUGCAAACCUGAUGGAGCAAUGCCGCGUGAGUGAAGAAGGUCUUCGGAUCGUAAAGCUCUGUUGUUAGAGAAGAACACGUGCUAAGUAACUACUAGCGCCUUGACGGUAUCUAACCAGAAAGUCACGGCUAACUACGUGCCAGCAGCCGCGGUAAUACGUAGGUGACAAGCGUUGUCCGGAUUUAUUGGGCGUAGAGGGAGCGCAGGCGGUCUGUUUAGUCUAAUGUGAAAGCCCACGGCUUAACCGUGGAACGGCAUUGGAAACUGACAGACUUGAAUGUAGAAGAGGAAAAUGGAAUUCCAAGUGUAGCGGCGGAAUGCGUAGAUAUUUGGAGGAACACCAGUGGCGAAGGCGAUUUUCUGGUCUAACAUUGACGCUGAGGCUCGAAAGCGUGGGGAGCGAACAGGAUUAGAUACCCU